rnacentral:rRNA from 1 species
CAGAGAGUAGCUUGCUACUUUGCUGACGAGCGGCGGACGGGUGAGUAAUGCUUGGGAACAUGCCUUGAGGUGGGGGACAACAGUUGGAAACGACUGCUAAUACCGCAUAAUGUCUACGGACCAAAGGGGGCUUCGGCUCUCGCCUUUAGAUUGGCCCAAGUGGGAUUAGCUAGUUGGUGAGGUAAUGGCUCACCAAGGCGACGAUCCCUAGCUGGUUUGAGAGGAUGAUCAGCCACACUGGGACUGAGACACGGCCCAGACUCCUACGGGAGGCAGCAGUGGGGAAUAUUGCACAAUGGGCGCAAGCCUGAUGCAGCCAUGCCGCGUGUGUGAAGAAGGCCUUCGGGUUGUAAAGCACUUUCAGUCAGGAGGAAAGGUUAGUAGUUAAUACCUGCUAGCUGUGACGUUACUGACAGAAGAAGCACCGGCUAACUCCGUGCCAGC